UAUAUACUCCCUCAGUCCCAAAAUUCUUAUCUUAUAUUUGUGCAGACAUGAAUGUAUAUAGUCAUGUUUUUGUAUUUAGAUACUACAUUCAUUUCUGAACAAACCUAAGACAAGAAUUUUGGAACGAAGGGAGUAUAUG
rfam:Hordeum vulgare subsp. vulgare, WGS project CAJW01000000 data, contig: morex_contig_139943